AAUGAACGUUGGCGGCAUGGAUUAGGCAUGCAAGUCGAGCGAGAAGACUUAGAUUGACGCUUCGGUUGAUUUCUAAGUUGGACAGCGGCGAAAGGGAGAGUAACGCGUAGUUAUCUGCCCCGAGGUCCGGAAUAGCCAUGGGAAACUGUGGGUAAUGCCGGAUAACAUCCCCGGAUCAAAGGUGUGAUUCCGCCUCGGGAGGGGACUGCGUUGUACUAGCUUGUUGGUGGGGUAAUGGCCUACCAAGGCGAUGAUGCAUAGCGGGCGUGAGAGCGUGGCCCGUCUCACUGGGACUGAGACACUGCCCAGACACCUACGGGUGGCUGCAGUCGAGAAUCUUCGGCAAUGGACGAAAGUCUGACCGAGCAAUGCCGCGUGCGGGAUGAAGGCCCUCGGGUUGUAACCGCGAAAGUGAGGAGGGACCCGUGAAGAGCGGGUUUGACCGGAUCCACAGUAAGGACGGGCUAAGUUCGUGCCAGCCGCCGCGGUAA
rnacentral:rRNA from 1 species